rnacentral:rRNA from 1 species
GAUGAACGCUGGCGGCGUGCUUAACACAUGCAAGUCGAACGAUGAAGCCCAGCUUGCUGGGUGGAUUAGUGGCGAACGGGUGAGUAACACGUGAGUAACCUGCCCUUAACUCUGGGAUAAGCCUGGGAAACUGGGUCUAAUACCGGAUAGGAGCGUCCACCGCAUGGUGGGUGUUGGAAAGGUUUAUCGGUUUUGGAUGGACUCGCGGCCUAUCAGCUUGUUGGUGAGGUAAUGGCUCACCAAGGCGACGACGGGUAGCCGGCCUGAGAGGGUGACCGGCCACACUGGGACUGAGACACGGCCCAGACUCCUACGGGAGGCAGCAGUGGGGAAUAUUGCACAAUGGGCGCAAGCCUGAUGCAGCGACGCCGCGUGAGGGAUGACGGCCUUCGGGUUGUAAACCUCUUUCAGUAGGGAAGAAGCGAAAGUGACGGUACCUGCAGAAGAAGCACCGGCUAACUACGUG